UACGUAGGGGGCGAGCGUUGUUCGGAAUUACUGGGCGUAAAGGGCUCGUAGGCGGCCCCGUAAGUCGGAUGUGAAAUCCCUCGGCUCAACCGAGGACGUGCAUUCGAAACUGUGGGGCUCGAGUAUGGAAGAGGGUCGCAGAAUUCCCGGUGUAGAGGUGAAAUUCGUAGAUAUCGGGAGGAAUACCAGUGGCGAAGGCGGCGACCUGGGCCAAUACUGACGCUGAGGUGCGAAAGCGUGGGGAGCGAACAGG
rnacentral:rRNA from 1 species